CGGGAUGUGGCCCAGUUUGGUCUAGGGCGCCGGUCUGGGGGACCGGAGAUCCGCGGUUCGAAUCCGCGCAUCCCGACCA
rnacentral:tRNA from 1 species